GAGGCAGUUUGUGGGAAAGCCCAGCUGUUGGGGGCAGCCCAGCUGUUGGGGGGGCAGCCCAGCUGUUGGGGGGGCAGCCCAGCUGUUGGGGGGCAGCACAGCUGGCUGCUUUGUUCAGGAGAUGAUCACAUCUCAGCCUUGUGGACCUCACAUAAGUGAUUCUGCUGAUUGGUCUGAAUACCACGGUCCUCUGAUGCUGAAGUUACAUAAACCUCUGAAGUAUUUGGGCAGAGCCUGGGCCAUCUUUCCAUGGACUUGGCAUCAUCACUGAGUGACUCUCAAUCCUUGACAUAGGGUAAAGGUAUCGAUCCCACAAACAUGGAGGGCACCCCCGCCCCGUGAAUAUGCAACUGCUAUUGACCCUGUUUCUAUGGAGACCACCAAUCAACACAGUGUGGAUUCAAUGAAAGCAUAUGUGUAAAAUGAGGACUUGGCUUGUGACCUUAUGGAGGCUGAGAGGUCCCAUGGUCUGCUAUAUGGCACCUGAGACCCAGAGCACCCUGUGGUGUAACUCAGGCCAUAAAAUGGGCGCAGAAGUGAAGAGCAAAAAAGAUUCUGGGAAGGUGGACACUGGCAGUUCAGCUUCAUAUGCCCUUGGCCCAGCCCCGGACUCACAGAGGCCCUUCUGACAUGUUCCUCCUCCUUCUCCGCUUCCUUCUUGAGCAGCGUCUACCUACUCUUUGCUCUGACCUGGUAUCUCCCUGGGACCUCCUGGACAUGGCCACCCAUCCCUGAUCUCAUCUAGAUAUUUACAGAGUUCCCGCUCUCACAGUGAUGACAUCUCUGAGGACGACGUUCUGCCUGGCCAUCCACCGCAUCUCAGCAUCCUUCAGGUACCACUCACGUCAUUAGCCGCACAUAGCUGUGCUGGGGAUGGAGAGAGAGCCAGGAGGACGAGGAGAGACCGCAGGAAGCGGCUCUUCACACGCCAUCGUAAACGUGAGAGGAGGGUGUUUACCAGAGGAGACCUUACAACAUGGCUGGAAGCUGCCUGAGUGGGUCCCUUCCCACCAGUUUCUCCGAAUGACAGUCUGUGAUAAUGUGGUUAGCUGCAUCACUCCUUAGGAAUGUGGCUCCAGUAGCAGCAGCAGCAGCAGCAGCAGCAGCAGCAGCAGCAGCAGCAGCAGCAGCAGCAACCGAGUGUG